rnacentral:rRNA from 1 species
CGCAUCUGUGCAUGCAGCAUAUUCAAUAAGCGGAGGAAAAGAAACUAACAAGGAUUCCCCUAGUAACGGUGAGUGAAGCGGGAAGAGCUCAAAUUUGAAAUCUUAAAGGGUUUCCCUUUACGAAUUGUAGUUUAAAGAAGUGUUUUCUGUUGAGGUUUUGGUAAAAGUUCUUUGGAAUAGGACAUCAUAGAGGGUGAGAAUCCCGUAUUUGACCUUUACUUUCAACUUUGUGAUACACUUUCAAAGAGUCGGAUUGUUUGGGAAUGCAGUCCAAAAUGGGUGGUAAAUUUCAUCUAAAGCUAAAUAUUGGCGAGAGACCGAUAGCGAACAAGUACCGUGAGGGAAAGAUGAAAAGAACUUUGAAAAGAGAGUUAAACAGUACGUGAAAUUGUCAAAAGGGAAGCGUUUGACACCAGUGUUGUUUUUCUGAAAAUCAAUUAAAGAACUGUUUAUGCUAAGUUGUUUAGACUUUAUCAGCUAACUGUUUAGUUUUGAGCUUUCCUUUAAUGCACUUUUCAGUUAACAAGUCAACAUCAAUUUCUUUUGCUGUAAAAAAGCUUGAGGAAGGUGGCUUGAGAUUCGUCUUAAGUGUUUAUAGCCUCUUGCCUAUGCAGUCGGAGAGAUUGAGGUCUGCAGCGUAGAUCCUUCGGGGCUAAAUGCAUUUGUGCUAAGUUAUAGCAUUUUAUAGACAACUUGUUGACUAUGAUUUGUCUUGUAGCUUACUCGCUUAUGUUAUUUUACCUACGCUUAGGAUGUUGAACGCGCACAGAGUCUC